rnacentral:rRNA from 1 species
GAUGAACGCUGGCGGCGUGCCUAAUACAUGCAAGUCGAGCGAGAAGCUUGGAAAUGACGCUUCGGUUGAUUUUCCAAGCGGACAGCGGCGGACGGGUGAGUAACGCGUAGGCAACCUGCCCCUGACAGAGGGAUAGCCAUUGGAAACGAUGAUUAAAACCUCAUGACACCGUAGUAGCACAUGCUACAUCGGUCAAAGAUUUAUCGGUCAGGGAUGGGCCUGCGUCUGAUUAACUGGUUGGUGAGGUAACGGCUCACCAAGGUGACGAUCAGUAGCCGACCUGAGAGGGUGAUCGGCCACAUUGGAACUGAGACACGGUCCAAACUUCUACGGAAGGCAGCAGUAGGGAAUCUUGCACAAUGGGCGAAAGCCUGAUGCAGCAACGCCGCGUGAAGGAUGAAGGCCUUCGGGUUGUAAACUUCUGUUCUAAGGGAAGAAAGAAAUGACGGUACCUUAGGAGCAAGCCCCGGCUAACUACGUGCCAGCAGCCGCGGUAAUACGUAGGGGGCAAGCGUUAUCCGGGAUUAUUGGGCGUAAAGAGUGCGUAGGUGGUUACCUAAGCGCAAGGUUUAAAUUAGAGGCUCAACCUCUACAUGCCUUGCGAACUGGGCUACUUGAGUGCAGGAGGGGAAAGCGGAAUUCCUAGUGUAGCGGUGAAAUGCGUAGAUAUUAGGAGGAACACCGGCGGCGAAGGCGGCUUUCUGGACUGUAACUGACACUGAGGCACGAAAGCGUGGGUAGCAAACAGG